UGCAGGAUCCCGCGAACCCCCGAGUCUUUGAACGCAAGUUGCGCCCGGAGCCUUCUGGCCGAGGGCACGUCUGCCUGGGCGUC
rnacentral:rRNA from 1 species